rnacentral:piRNA from 1 species
UCCUCAAGGAUCCCCCGCCCCCC